UACGUAGGGGGCAAGCGUUGUCCGGAAUCAUUGGGCGUAAAGAGCGUGUAGGCGGCUCGAUAAGUCUGCUGUGAAAAUCCAGGGCUCAACCCUGGAAGGCCGGUGGAAACUGUCGGGCUAGAGUCCGGAAGAGGCGAGUGGAAUUCCCGGUGUAGCGGUGAAAUGCGCAGAUAUCGGGAGGAACACCUGUGGCGAAAGCGGCUCACUGGACCACAACUGACGCUGAGGCGCGAAAGCGUGGGGAGCGAACAGG
rnacentral:rRNA from 1 species